GGGGGCUGGAGCCAAUCCCAGCUGACAUCGGGCGAAAGGCGGGGUAAAGACAAAUAUACAAAGAGGAAGAAUCAAGAACCAUUCCUUUUCUGACAAUCUACAACUUCCCCCCAUUACUAGUCACUGGACUCCAAAGUGUUCUUGGAAAACAUUCCUAUUUUUGUCUCGGUAACAGAGGUGGAACAGACAUCUACAACAAAGAUGGCUGCUGGUGAAGGACUCUUUUGUUCUCUGCAUGAGGCCGAAGGACAACCAGGUGGGAAUGAUGAUCCUCUAUGAUAAGGGCUUUCACAUCAAGAUGAGCACCCAGGAGACCAGCGUCCAUCACGAAGUCACCACCGAGAACCUCUGCAGGCAGGCAUUUGUUCUUAUCAUUUUCACAUUUUGCUGUGAUGGCACAGCCACACAUUUGUGCUGACUGUAUUCCUACACAGAUUACUUGUGUGCUGUGCCACAAAUGUCACAUCGACAUUGUAAUAAGAAUACAUUUUAUUUACUUGGAGCCCUUUACCAGCAAGCCAUCAAAGAAGAGAACACAUCCAAGCAAAAAAUGCAUAGCCUGCAUUCGAACACACAAGAUAAUGGCAGAAUGACAUUACCUUCACACAGUCUCAGUUUCAGUCUUCAAUGGGGGAUAUGAGAUGUAUGAACUGCCCAUCUCUACAGUCAGAAGUGUGUGUUUGUGGCUUACAGGUUUAUCAAUUCUAUGAGCUACUAUAAUGCCAUUGGUUUAAGAACUACAGAGAUUUUUAUCACAAGCUUGUGGUAUGUACAAGUUUUGUGGUUGCAGUUUGUAAACACAACAUUCAACGUUGGCCCCUCCUACCCGGCUCAAUGACACAAGAAGUGCAUGCCCAAUGCUAUGUAUAUAUAUGUAUUGUAUUUAAAUACUGUAUAUCAUUUUGUCUGUCAGACAUUGGGUGUGUAGAUAGUGUUCAGUGGGUUUAUUAGAGCUUUUUGGAUAAAAAACAAAAAGAAUUAUUUAAUGAAAUGCUGUAAAAAAUAAA